ensembl:snRNA U6 U6 spliceosomal RNA
AUGCUUAUUUCUGCAGCACUUAUACUAAAAUUGGAACUAUACAGAGAAGAUUAGUGUGACCCCUGUGCAAGGAUGACAUGCAAAUUUGCAAAGCAUUCCAUAUUUUG